CAAGAAGAAAAAAAAAGCUU
rnacentral:piRNA from 1 species